GAAAUUGAUGAACCAAGAAGUCCAGAACACAAAGAGACAAAGUUAUAGAAAACUUUUGUGAUUUGGACUCUCAUGACACGGACAUUGGUGAAUUGUUGCCAGAAAAGAGACCCACUUGCAUUUGUGAGGGAGUAUCAUAGGGACAGUCUUGAUUGAUGGUUUAAUCAUUUAUGUCUGUUCCCUAUGAAUUGCUAGUUUAUUCAUUAUUUUGAUGAAUCUAAGGCUUAGUAAAUUUGAUACAUUCUGGGUAUUUCAUUGGCAGAUCAUGUAAAGAUUUGACUGGUUUGGAACUGGUGAUGGACAGAUCAUGUAAGCAAUGCAGAGAACCCGUGUCAUUCUAAUGUCUUUUUAGGCAAAACCUUGUGUGUACAUAUUGUGAGUGAAGCUGCUUCCCUUUUUGCAGCUGAAAGAGGGGACGAUGAUGAGAAGUUAUUUUGAUGCGUAGUCAUAUUCUUUAAAAGUUACAAUGGCCAGCUUAGUGGUGAAUCAUAUAUUUACUGAUGGUUUGCAGCUUCUGGCGAAGCUCAGGUUUUCAGUAAUGCACUGCGUUACUACAAGUUCUUGUAACUUUGCUAAUUAUUCAAUAACUGUGUCAUUAUUUGGAUAUGAAAUUAGGGAUGAAAAUUCACACACAUGAUGUACCUAAUUUGUUAAAAUUCAAUAUUGGUGGUUCGUACUUUACAUUAAUUGUCGAGGCUGACACUGCAAAUAAAUUGUGACUUAUGCUGAUUAUGUGCGUACUUUCUCUUUCCCUUUCUUCUCUCUCUAUUAUGAUUUACUUUGGAAGAAAUUCAGCCAUUAAUUGAAUAAAAUCUUGCUGAUUACAGGAGGUGAUUGAAAAGUUGUAUUAAGAGGUCAAUCGGUUGCAGGACGAGGAGGAGCUUGCUGCCAUCAAGGCCUUGGGAAGAUCGUUCUACAAGAUAGUGAUUUCAGAUUAUGACUACACAGAGUUUGAGAACUUCACUAAGUGGCUCGGGGUAUCACAGUAAAUUUGGCCUUUUAGAUAAAAGUUUUUGAUAGAGAUAUUUGAAUCUGCUGAGUUUUAGAUUUCGGAGAAUUAAAUUAUCAGGUUCCCUAGCGCUUGUUCCUAUAGCGCUUGUAGUUGGAAGACUAUUUAAUUGGAACCUUGACAGUGUAUUUUUAUGCUGUUUUAUUCUUUUUUGGGUCUA